rnacentral:rRNA from 1 species
CCCUACGGGGCGCAGCAGGCGCGAAAUCUUCACAGUGUGCGAAAGCACGAUGAGGGAAUCCCAAGUGCUAGCACGUAAGUGUUAGCUGUUUCUAAGUCUAAAAAACUCAGAGAGUAAGGGCUGGGUAAGACGGGUGCCAGCCGCCGCGGUAAUACCUGCAGCUCAAGUGGUGGCCGCUAUUAUUGGGCCUAAAACGUCCGUAGCCUGUUUAGUAAAUGCUUGGGUAAAUUGUGUAGCUUAACUAUACGAAUACCGGGUAGACUGCUAAACUUGGGACCGGGAGAGGCUAGAGGUACUCCUGGGGUAGAGGUGAAAUUCUGUAAUCCUAGGGGGACCACCAGUGGCGAAGGCGUCUAGCCAGAACGGGUCUGACGGUGAGGGACGAAGCCCUGGGGCGCGAACCGGAUUAGAUACCCGGGUAGUCCAGGGUGUAAACGCUGCUUGCUUGAUGUUAGUUGGGCUCCGAGCCCAACUAGUAUCGGAGAGAAGUUGUUAAGCAAGCUGCCUGGGAAGUACGGUCGCAAGACUGAAACUUAAAGGAAUUGGCGGGGGGCAC